GUACUUGUCCAGCUCGUUCUGCAGCUUCUGAAUCAGUUCGUCCUUCUGAUCCAACUCGAGCUCCAGCUCGUCGAUGAGCGCAUCCCGCUGCCGGAGCUCCUCGAUCUUCUCCUGGAGCGCGUACUGCAGAUCGCGCAAGGACCAGUAUCACAAAAGGCUUCGGACAGACACUCUGUGUCUCCAGUACCCCACCCACUGGAACGAGUCUGCAGAAGUCUUGGAGAUGGGCCUUGACUUCUUCUGCUGACUGAAGGAUUGGUGUGGUUGGGUGUGGUGGAGGGAAGGAGCAAUCUUUGCUGAGUCCCACAAAGUCCAGCCUGAGAUAGAAUCACACCUUUUAAAAGUCCAUUUCUUCCCGACAA